CCCAACUGGAAACUCAGUGGAGGAAGGAGGAGUUUCUGCAGAUUGCUGGCUUCCCUGAAGUGAUCGGUGGCAUUGAUGGAACGCACGUAAUGAUUGUGGCUCCUAGAGAGUAUAAGGUAGAGUUUGUCAACAGGAAGAGAUACUACAGCAUCAACGUGCAGUUUGUGUUUGAUGCUUGAUACCACAUUAUUGAUGUGGUUGCAAAGUGGCCGGGAUCGGUUCACGAUGCAAGAAUACUUGUUCAAAGUGGACUCUGCACGAUAUUUGACAACGGCAUCGUCCCAGCUGGGUGUCACUUACAGGGAGAUAGUGACUAUCCCAGCAAGAAGUGGCUACUGACUCCAUACCUCAGACCACAGCCUGGAGCACAGUCUUCUUAUAACAGGGCCCACAAGAAAACCCGCAGCGUUGUUGAGAGGCAUCGGGCAGCUGAAGCGACAUUUUCACAUGCUACACAGUGAGAUCCGAGUUGGUCCUCCAUCCAAGGUCUGCCAAAUUGUAGAGGUUUGUGCAUUGCUGCACAACAUCUGCAAAGCAAGAAACAUCAUUCUUCCUGAGGAAGAAGAACAUCUUGCUGCAGCCGAGGAUGGAGGCAACGAGGAGCGACUCCUAGCACAGAAAGUUCAAAGUCGCCAUGAAGUAAUCCUUUACAGGGAUGAAUUUGUUGUGCUUCACUUCAACAUUGAUGAAUGAUGAGACACCAGUGUCAUGACUGCUGAGAUUGGUGUUAUUCUCAUGUGGAUGAUCUCCUCCUCAUCCACAAACACCAGUGAUGUACCAGGCAAGUCUGGCCCCUGUUGGUGCUGCAAGUGGUGUGGCAGGUGCCUCCUCCUCAACACCCACUGCCUCGGUCACCACUUCUCUCUGUUGGGCUGCCUCUGCCACUUCCCCAGCAUCAUCUGCUGCCUGCACACUGCUGGCAUCAUUAGUUCUAACUUCAGAAACUAAGCUGAUAAUGUUUUUGGUUUUAUUGCUAAGGACAAAAGUAACAGAAACCAGUAAAUCUAGCUAAGGGUA